rnacentral:rRNA from 1 species
AGAGUUUGAUCCUGCGCUCAGGAUGAACGCUAGCUACAGGCUUAACACAUGCAAGUCGAGGGGAAACGACAUCGAAAGCUUGCUUUUGAUGGGCGUCGACCGGCGCACGGGUGAGUAACGCGUAUCCAACCUGCCCACCACUUGGGGAUAACCUUGCGAAAGUAAGACUAAUACCCAAUGACGUCUCUAGAAGACAUCUGAAAGAGAUUAAAGAUUUAUCGGUGAUGGAUGGGGAUGCGUCUGAUUAGCUUGUUGGCGGGGUAACGGCCCACCAAGGCGACGAUCAGUAGGGGUUCUGAGAGGAAGGUCCCCCACAUUGGAACUGAGACACGGUCCAAACUCCUACGGGAGGCAGCAGUGAGGAAUAUUGGUCAAUGGACGAGAGUCUGAACCAGCCAAGUAGCGUGCAGGAUGACGGCCCUAUGGGUUGUAAACUGCUUUUAUAAGGGAAUAAAGUGAGUCUCGUGAGACUUUUUGCAUGUACCUUAUGAAUAAGGACCGGCUAAUUCCGUGCCAGCAGCCGCGGUAAUACGGAAGGUCCGGGCGUUAUCCGGAUUUAUUGGGUUUAAAGGGAGCGUAGGCCGGAGAUUAAGCGUGUUGUGAAAUGUAGACGCUCAACGUCUGCACUGCAGCGCGAACUGGUUUCCUUGAGUACGCACAAAGUGGGCGGAAUUCGUGGUGUAGCGGUGAAAUGCUUAGAUAUCACGAAGAACUCCGAUUGCGAAGGCAGCUCACUGGAGCGCAACUGACGCUGAAGCUCGAAAGUGCGGGUAUCGAACAGGAUUAGAUACCCUGGUAGUCCGCACGGUAAACGAUGGAUGCCCGCUGUUGGUCUGAAUAGGUCAGCGGCCAAGCGAAAGCAUUAAGCAUCCCACCUGGGGAGUACGCCGGCAACGGUGAAAC